UCCUGGGAACCCCCCCCCGAAAGGCUCCCUGGGACGUGGAAGUGCUUCAGGUCAACCCCAGUGUAUUCACCUGGCAUCCCUUGGGAAGCUCUUAGUGAGCCGCGCAGACACCAGCACGUCCGUAACCACCCAUAGGAUCUCCUAUUGCUGGAGGAAGAGCUGUAAUUUCGGCUGGCUGCGGAAAGAAGCACUGAAGACACGAGGAAAUAUUACUUGCAUGCAGGCUGAUCACGCUGAACCGUAAGGGCUAGGGUGAAAUAAUUCAUUGGUCUUUCUGGCAGGCGGAACUCUAUUGCUGCCA